AAACGAUGUCGACUUGGAGGUUGUGCCCUUGAGGCGUGGCUUCCGGAGCUAACGCGUUAAGUCGACCGCCUGGGGAGUACGGCCGCAAGGUUAAAACUCAAAUGAAUUGACGGGGGCCCGCACAAGCGGUGGAGCAUGUGGUUUAAUUCGAUGCAACGCGAAGAACCUUACCUGGUCUUGACAUCCACAGAACUUUCCAGAGAUGGAUUGGUGCCUUCGGGAACUGUGAGACAGGCGCUGCAUGGCUGUCGUCAGCUCGUGUUGUGAAAUGUUGGGUUAAGUCCCGCAACGAGCGCAACCCUUAUCCUUUGUUGCCAGCGGUCCGGCCGGGAACUCAAAGGAGACUGCCAGUGAUAAACUGGAGGAAGGUGGGGAUGACGUCAAGUCAUCAUGGCCCUUACGACCAGGGCUACACACGUGCUACAAUGGCGCAUACAAAGAGAAGCGACCUCGCGAGAGCAAGCGGACCUCAUAAAGUGC
rnacentral:rRNA from 1 species